UGGCCAAAUAAAUUUAAUAUAUAAAAUGUAGGAUAACUAUAAGGAUAUAAUAAUAACUAGUAAUUACAAUUAUUUUUUUUGUGCACAGCUAGCCUUUGUUCUCCAGCCAAAUGGUACUAUCUUCAUCCAACAACAUGCCAGCAGCAAAAAAUAUCCUUCCUUGUAUAUGGAGAAAAAAAAGGAAGUUGAAUUGGUUUCAAUUUGUUUAGACAGUGUAGUGUUGUUGAAUGGUUUCAAUAUCUAGUCCCUUUAGCUUGACAACUGAUUCAACAUGUCCCUUAAGUGUGUGGAGCUCCCUCAGCCUUGCAACUUCAGCACGACGUUUAGCUUGUUCAGCAAUCUCAGACAGUUCCCUAUAGUUCUUGUCAUUGAAUAGGCCACUGGCUUCGGGUGUCUGGAGACCAUGAAGAGUACGUUGAGCUAGAGCCCAUUGUGCUUCCCUCUCACCCCUUCCAUAGUCCUUCUUGGUUGUGAAGGCAGUCUAAGGUAUUCAAGAAACAAAAAUACUAAUUAGUCAAGAACAAAAUUCAAUGAAAUUUUCUUCAUGUUUUGGUGAUUUGUUGCUUGUUUUUUUACCUUGUUUUGGAUCAUUGUGUCCCAUGCCCUUCCACUCAAGCCGAAACGGAUGAUGAAUUUAAGAACAUCUUGAGGUAAGUAGGUAAUAAUAGUGUAGACCCAGAUGACUGCUGCCCAUCCCCAGCCAACUCCCUUGAUCCUGGCGAAUUCCCAGUCUGCAUAUACAGCAAGCACUGUAGCAACCUGAAAGUUAUGAAUUUUAAUUAGCUAUAUAUUCAAAUGGAAGUACUUUUGAGUCGAAUAAUUCAUUCAAGUUGUCAUACUCCAAGACUCACCAAUUGGGCUGCAAAGAAAGCUCCUACGAGCAUAAGUCCAGGACAUUCCACAAAGGACCAGCUUCGUGACCUGGUCACGAAGAUGAGAGCUUGACUGAUAAUACUCACUUGAAGGUAAAGUGCAGCUGUAAGCUCAUUUGGAGAGUUUCUGAUUGAUCGAACAUGGAAGUUUUCCUGCACGUAUAUGAUGAUUUUUUCGGUUUAGUUUCAUUUUGUGUUUCAUGUUAGGGUGAGAAUCUUAAUACUUACAGUGAAGAAAUCAGUGUCUGCUGCAAGGUAGAAGAACACAACAGUCAUGAUAGCUUGGUAGGUUCCGAGGACAACACCAGUGGCAAAGAUUUCAUUCAGUUUCCAUGAGUCGGGCAAUGGAGAUGGCUUAACCCUGUCCUUAGAGAUGGUCAUGAUGGUUCCGUCAUUAAGUAUGGCAAUGAUAAGGACCAUGAAGGGAGAGAAGUCGAACUUCCAGAUAAGGGCAAUGAGCAUGAAUCCCAUCACAACACGGAUUGUAAUGGAAACAGCAUAGAUUGUGUAGUUCUUCAUCCUCUGGAAGAUGGCUCUGCUUGUCAACACAGCACUCACAAUGACACUAAGACCUGGCUCAGUCAAGACGAUAUCAGAUGCACUCCUAGCAGCGUCUGUUGCGUCAUCCACAGCAAUACCAAUAUCUGCCUUCUUGAGUGCUGGUGCGUCAUUCACUCCGUCUCCUGUCAUACCACAGAUGUGUUUCCUAUCUUGGAGCUUCUUCACAAUCUCGUAUUUAUGCUCUGGGAAGACUCCAGCAAAACCAUCAGCCUUUUCAAUUAGCUCAUCGACGGGAAUUGAAGCAAUGGCUGCAUCCUUGUGCUCUCCAAGAAGAGCUGAAGAAGGAUACAUGUUGGUUCCCAUGCCAAGCCUACGUGCAGUUUCCUUACCGAUGGCAAGCUGGUCACCAGUGAUCAUCUUGACAGCAACCCCAAGUUCAAGAGCUUUGCGGAUAGUUUCAGCACUGUCGUGCCUUGGAGGAUCAAAAAGGGGCAAAAGGCCAACAAAUUCCCAAGGUGAGCCUUCACUUUCCUUGCUCUUCUCAGGUACAGUCUGCAUAGAUACCACAUAAUCACGCUUAAUCCACGACGAUCAAUGAUAUGAUGCAUUGAUCCAAGCAAAGUCAUUAUCUUACCUGUCUUGCCAAACCCAAAGAACGAAGGCCACGGUUAGCAUAGUCGUCAAUGAUUUCUAAGGCCUUCUUCCUGAUAUCUCCUUUGAGCUCACAAAGUUCAAUAAUCUGGCAAAAAAUGACAUAUGAGAUGACAAGCACUAAGAAUACAUGAAGCGAAGGGAAACUCAGAAACACCAUCUUACUUGCUCGGGAGCUCCUUUGCUAGCCCUGUGCCAGUUUCCUUUGUCAUCGAUAUAGGUAAUGGCUGUACGCUUUUCAACUGGAUUGAAAGGCAAGAAGUGAACCUCUUGGAUGCCUGCUCUUGCCUGCAAUGUGACAAAGAAACAUAAAUGGUCAGUUUACAACUUCUUGGAAUACUGAAAAAUGUACUAAUAUCACCUAAUAACAAAACAUAUUACCUCCUUAGGAUCACCCAACAUGUUAACGAUACAAGUAUCAAUAGCAUCUUGGUUCUCGAUCCUGGAAGCCCUAGCCCCAAGCAACAUAACAGUGUCCUUGGUCGCAUCUUUAGGGAAAACCUACAACCACCGUUACGCAUUGAUAGCGCUUUAGCCUUCAUGUUUCCUCAGAAAAAAACUAUAAUAAUCAUGAUAAAAAUGUAUAAUGUUGCCCUGAUUACCAACCUCAAUUAAGUUUUUGUCAACAGUGAGCUUGUUGAGGGUGAGGGUACCAGUUUUGUCACUGCAAAGAACAUCCAUACCAGCCAUUUCCUCAAUAGCAGUCAUCCUCUUAGUAAUGGCACCUUGUUGUGCAAGCCUAUGAGAUCCAAUAGCCAUGGUCACAGAUAAGACUGUUGGCAUGGCAAUUGGGAUACCUCCGAUGAGCAACACAAGCAAGUUGUCGAUUCCAUCUCUGUAUUUACGCUGCUGAAUUGGGUACAUCACUAUUAUCUCAAUCACCAUUCCUACUGCAAUAGAGCAAAUACAGAAGUUUCCGAUGGCUGUCAACACCUGUGAUCAUCAUCACAAUCCAAAUCCAAAAUUUAGAAAUCCCCAAUCACACCAAAUGAUUCUUUAAAUUUAUAUCACAAACACAUUUCUUUUACCUUCUGGAAAUGGCCAACAUUGUUUGUGCUGUCCACAAGGUGAGCAGCCUUUCCAAAGAAAGUGUGAACACCAGUGGCAAUGACAACUGCCUCGAUUUCGCCUUGCUUGACAGUGGAACCAGAGAAAACCUCAGCACCAGGGAACUUUGUCGCAGGCAAUGACUCACCGGUGAGUGCAGCCUGAUCAACCUUUAAAGGAUCACCCUCGAGAAGACGAGCAUCAGCUGGGACGAUAUCUCCCAACUUAAUGCUAAUCAGAUCACCUGGAACCAAGAUUGAGGCCUCCUCUUCUGACCAUUUUCCAUCUCUCAAAAUCUGGAAUCAAUAACAUUACAUAUAAUAUCAAUAAAUACACUGAGGACUAAAACGCCCGAUGAAAUUUAAAUCCUGCAUUCGCCACUGGAUAAGUAAUUAUGGGGUACCUUAGUUUUGGGAGCAAGAUUAGCCAUAAGGGCAGAUGCAGCAUUUCCUGCACUAUUUUCUUCAAUAAAACUGAUGGUAGAGUUGAUAAUAAGCAAUACUGUGAUACCAACGAAAUCUGGCCAAUCUGGUGGUUUGCCCUGCAAUUUUAUUUUCAAGAUUUCACCAUUACUAAAUCAAACACUAUCUGGCCAUGUAAAAAAUGAGAAUACAAAUCGAGGGUUGCGUUAGAGUGGUAAGUACUCCUUCAUCUUUAAUCAUAGGCUCGUUUUCAAGUCCUAGGUAUGAAAGAAAGCAUUUUACCCCCCAAUGUAGGACUUUCCGACUCUGGCGCGGGAAGUCGCUUUUAUUAGGGAGCGUUUUUCCCUCAACUUGAGACUUCCCAACACACAUCCGAAUUUAGUCGAGUCCCUUGUAUGGGAAGUCACAUUUCUUAGGGAGCAUUUUACCCCUCCAUGUGCGAUUUUCCAAAUUUAGUCAGGCCCUAAUAUGGGAACUCACCUUUCUGAGGGAGCAUUUGCCCCCAAUAUGGAACUUUCCAGCACGAAUUCGAGUUUAGUAAUUAGACUCAAGUACAAGUACCAGACACCAGGUGGAAAAUCGAAAAAUAAAUAAAUAUGAAAAUAAGUGAAGUUGUAAUUACUCCUCCAUUGGCCAACACAAUAGCCAUGAUAGCAGCACACUCCAUAACCCAUGAGAGAGGAUUCCACAUGAACCCCAAGAAUUUGAGAAGCUUGUUCUCCUACAAUAAAUUAAAAGCAUAGGUAAUAAUUAAUACACAUAUUCAAGAUUUUAUUAAAAUAAAAUAUGAAGAUUUUUUAAAAUAGUAAUACUUUUUUCUCUUCAAGUUUGUUGGGGCCAAAAAUUUCAAUCCUUUUUUGGCCCUCAGCAGACGACAAUCCCUCUUUGCUACAUUUUAGCUGCUGGAACACUUCCUCCACUGGAAUGUUUUCCUGUAACAAUCAUUUAAUCACAUAUUAAAUUUUCUAUAUUAUCGAUGUAUAUUACUUAAAUUUCUAAACUUAAUUUAUUUUUGAUAAUUCAACUCAAACUAUAUAUGUUAAUGUCUUUGCAAAAAGAAAAUUCAAAUACAUACAUAUUAAUAUGAUUAUUUUUAUUAUGAAUUCACUAACUCUAGAAACGAAAUUAGUCCUUCAUGUCGGGAUACUUUUAGUAUAAAGGGAAAAAUUAAGAAAUGAAAGAAUAAAGGUGAAAAUGAGAUAAGAAUAGACAUAUAUUCUAGGGAUUUCAACUUGAAUUCAAUGUAUAUGUAUGAAAAAAUAAUUUUUUAUAUAUAUGUGUAUGUGUAUUCUGAACUCACUAACACCAUAAACUUAACGCCUUUAUCACUAGGAGUACUUUUAGUUUUAUUAAAAUUCAAAAAAUGUAAGAAUAUAGGUGCAAAAAAGAGAUGUCACUUACAAGGUCAAUUUGCUCAUUCUUGAUAUCUUCCAAAGAUAAAUUAGAUGCCAUGAUGGUGCUAAUAAUUUAUCAAGAGGAACCAAGAAAAGCAAAAAUUUAAUUUUAUUCAAAACAUGGAAAAGAUGAGAAAGAGUGUUUUGUUGUAUUUUUUAUUUUUUUUGGAAACUUAAAAUACAACAAAACGCCUGUUUUCAUCUACCUCUUUAGGUCUCCUUUUAUAGAUAAAUUGGUCUAUGGUCACCUUUGAAAAUGUCUAUAAAAAAGGAGAAACCUUAAAAAUACUUUUCUCCCUUAAAAAUGGAUCAUCUUACAAUAAUUAUUUUUAUUUUUUAAAAGAAUUAGUUAUUAUUUUCUUGGCCAUUUUGUUUUGUGCUUCCUUUUCCUUGUAAAUUUCCUUGUUUUUUUUGUUAGAAAAGUUUGACUUAAUUUCUUCCACGACAAAAUAACUUCUACUAGACUAUUGUUUUUGGUUAUGAUAUUGAAGUACCUAGAAGAAAAGGAAAUUGUUAUAAUUUAGAUUUUGAUUUGUUAUACAUACUACAUAAACCUUACUUAGUGGGUCAUUUCUCACUUACUUACUAUUUACUCAUUAAUAUUGACUUGAAGAAGGAAAGCAGUCUCAUACCUUUUCUAUUUCCUUCCCUGUGAUUGACUAUUUUUUCUUCCUUUUUCCAUACUUCAGGAGGAAGAGAUCGUCGGGUUCAACUUUUGCAUUGUCAUUGACUUGGAUCACAUCAUACAUAAUUAAUUUUAAUAUAUUAUAAAAAGUAAUUUAUCGUAUUUUUUAGAUUAGUCUCACUUAUUAUGGACGGUUACUAGCACUCCGCUUGUAUCUCUUGGUGUCAAAGGGCAGGUUUCUUUCUGGUCUUACCACACACUAUUGCGUACGCUUGUCUAUCAACCUACUUUGUCAAGAGGUGGUAGGAGCGCAAGAAACAUCUCUAUCUGUCUUAGUAGUCUAAAAACAAAAAGGGUUCUAGGCUAGAAGGAUUAUAGUAGGUUGAUUGGGAGACUAAUGAUUUAGAUAAUCCACCUCAGAUGAUAUAAGAUUCAAGUACAUUUGUUUGGUUAGUUUAUCUUUCUCUUACUUUUUUUUUUGUUUUAAAAUUGUACAAGCAAAUAAGUUGCAAGCUUCUUUAGUUUCUUUAUAAUUUCUUAGUCUUUACUUUUUUUUAUUGAAAUAUUCUUCAUUUUUAGGGUCUUUCCAUCAACUCUCAUUUAUUGAUUUGUAGAUCAUUCAUAUAUAUAUAUAUAUAUUAUUUAAAGUGGGAAGCUUUAAACUUCAAAGUUGGAUUACCAUUUUAUUCCUAUACUAAAUUAAAAUGUUAAAAAACAUCCAAAUUAAUUAAAUAUUAAAUCAUAAUCAUAUUUCACACAUCAAAUUAACUAUUUUAUGGUAAUGUACGGAAAUAUAAUUUUUUUUAGUUGCUUUUAAAUUUUAAAAAUAGUUUUUGAUAGAAUAUUAUAAAUGCACUAAUAGUACUUAAAUGCUUUAGAUGCUCAACUCAAUGACUCCAGUGAGGGGUCUUUCGUUUCGUCCUCCAUUAUUCUCAUAACACUUCUCCCAUUAAAUAAUAAUAACCUUUUUCUCCGAUUUUAUUUUUGAAAAAUUGUUCAUAGAAUUAAUCACACAAUGCUCUUAUUUAUUACAAUUUUGAGAUUAUACAUUUUGUAUCUUGAUUUAACCAAAAAAAAUGUUCUUGAAUAUGUAUUUAUAUUUGUGAGUGAAAGUAAGAUAUGCUUGUUUUCUUCACAUCACAAGUUUCUCCCAAAGACUCAUGAUAUUAAUUAUUAUGAAUCUAUUCUUUAUAAUAUAAAAGUUUGAGUUUGUCUUCUUCACGAUUCGUGACUCAUAUCUAAUAAACUAUUAUGUUGCUACUCUUAAUAUCCAUAAGUCUCGUGCUUUGACUAUUAUUUAAUAAAUCCAUCUUUUUAUUUUGAUCCUUACUCAAGGUUUUGUAUUAUUUUUUUCAUCUAUGUUGUUAUGAUCAAAGUCUAAAGAAGGAUGUGUAUGAUGUAUCUUUUCUUCUCUAUUUUCUCUUUAUAAGACUUCUUAAAUUUAUGUUCUAUGAAUUUGUGAUUGUCGUAAGUCUGUAUUUUUAUUUGAGCUCAUCAUUCCAAUGGAUCUAUAAUAAUUUACCCCACAAACUAGUAGAAAGAAAGAUAUAAGAAGGAGCAAUAGAUCUCAUUGAAAGUGAAAAAAUUGUGGAGACAAAACAGGUUUGGUCUAGCAAAAUAAAAUUUAAUACAUAAGAUAUAGGAAACUACAAGGAAAUAAUAAUAACUAGUAAUUACAGUUUCUUUUUAUGCACAGCUAGCCUUUGUUCUUAAGCCAAAUGCUAUAAUCUUCAUUCAACAAAAUGCCAGCAGAAAAAACUGUCCUUCCUUGUAUGGAGAAAAAAAAGUUCAAUUGAUUUCAACUUGUUUAGACAGUAUAGUGUUGUUGAAUGGUUUCAAUAUCUAGUCCCUUUAGCUUGACAACUGAUUCAACAUGUCCCUUAAGUGUGUGGAGCUCCCUCAGCCUUGCAACUUCAGCACGACGUUUAGCUUGUUCAGCAAUCUCAGACAGUUCCCUGUAGUUCUUGUCGUUGAAUAGGCCAGCGGCUUCAGGUGUCUGGAGACCAUGAAGUGUACGUUGCGCUAGAGCCCAUUGUGCUUCCCUCUCACCCCUUCCAUAGUCCUUCUUGGUUGUGAAGGCAGUCUAAGGUAUUCAAGAAACAAAAAUACUAAUUAGUCAA
rnacentral:lncRNA from 1 species